UGUGCACAAGCCCUACAACUGCUCC
rnacentral:piRNA from 1 species